CUACGGAGGGAGCAAGCGUUAUUCGGAAUCACUGGGCGUAAAGGACGCGUAGGCGGGUUUGUAAGUCAGGUGUGAAAUCCUACAGCUCAACUGUAGAACUGCACUUGAAACUACAGACCUAGAGUAUGGAAGGGGCAGAUGGAAUUAGUGGUGUAGGGGUAAAAUCCGUAGAUAUCACUAGGAAUACCGAAAGCGAAGGCGAUCUGCUGGGACAUUACUGACGCUGAGGCGUGAAAGCGUGGGGAGCAAACCGGAUUAGAAACCCCAGUAGUCC
rnacentral:rRNA from 1 species